rnacentral:rRNA from 1 species
UUAAGCGACUAAGCGUACACGGUGGAUGCCCUGGCAGUCAGAGGCGAUGAAGGACGUGCUAAUCUGCGAAAAGCGUCGGUAAGGUGAUAUGAACCGUUAUAACCGGCGAUGUCCGAAUGGGGAAACCCAGUGCAAUUCGUUGCACUAUCGUUAACUGAAUACAUAGGUUAACGAGGCGAACCGGGGGAACUGAAACAUCUAAGUACCCCGAGGAAAAGAAAUCAACCGAGAUUCCCCCAGUAGCGGCGAGCGAACGGGGAGCAGCCCAGAGUCUGAAUCAGCUUGUGUGUUAGUGGAACGGUCUGGAAAGUCCGACGGUACAGGGUGAUAGUCCCGUACACCAAAAUGCACAGGUUGUGAACUCGAAGAGUAGGGCGGGACACGUGGUAUCCUGUCUGAAUAUGGGGGGACCAUCCUCCAAGGCUAAAUACUCCUGACUGACCGAUAGUGAACCAGUACCGUGAGGGAAAGGCGAAAAGAACCCCGGCGAGGGGAGUGAAAAAGAACCUGAAACCGUGUACGUACAAGCAGUGGGAGCACCUUCGGGUGUGACUGCGUACCUUUUGUAUAAUGGGUCAGCGACUUAUAUUCUGUAGCAAGGUUAACCGUAUAGGGGAGCCGCAGGGAAACCGAGUCUUAACUGGGCGUUAAGUUGCAGGGUAUAGACCCGAAACCCGGUGAUCUAGCCAUGGGCAGGUUGAAGGUUGGGUAACACUAACUGGAGGACCGAACCGACUAAUGUUGAAAAAUUAGCGGAUGACUUGUGGCUGGGGGUGAAAGGCCAAUCAAACCGGGAGAUAGCUGGUUCUCCCCGAAAGCUAUUUAGGUAGCGCCUCGUGAAUUCAUCUUCGGGGGUAGAGCACUGUUUCGGCUAGGGGGUCAUCCCGACUUACCAACCCGAUGCAAACUACGAAUACCGAAGAAUGUUAUCACGGGAGACACACGGCGGGUGCUAACGUCCGUCGUGAAGAGGGAAACAACCCAGACCGCCAGCUAAGGUCCCAAAGUCAUGGUUAAGUGGGAAACGAUGUGGGAAGGCACAGACAGCCAGGAUGUUGGCUUAGAAGCAGCCAUCAUUUAAAGAAAGCGUAAUAGCUCACUGGUCGAGUCGGCCUGCGCGGAAGAUGUAACGGGGCUAAACCAUGCACCGAAGCUGCGGCAGCGACACGAUGUGUUGUUGGGUAGGGGAGCGUUCUGUAAGCCUGCGAAGGUGUGCUGUGAGGCAUGCUGGAGGUAUCAGAAGUGCGAAUGCUGACAUAAGUAACGAUAAAGCGGGUGAAAAGCCCGCUCGCCGGAAGACCAAGGGUUCCUGUCCAACGUUAAUCGGGGCAGGGUGAGUCGACCCCUAAGGCGAGGCCGAAAGGCGUAGUCGAUGGGAAACAGGUUAAUAUUCCUGUACUUGGUGUUACUGCGAAGGGGGGACGGAGAAGGCUAUGUUAGCCGGGCGACGGUUGUCCCGGUUUAAGCAUGUAGGCUGGUUAUCCAGGCAAAUCCGGAUAAUCAAGGCUGAGGUGUGAUGACGAGGCACUACGGUGCUGAAGUAACAAAUGCCCUGCUUCCAGGAAAAGCCUCUAAGCAUCAGGUAACAUUAAAUCGUACCCCAAACCGACACAGGUGGUCAGGUAGAGAAUACCAAGGCGCUUGAGAGAACUCGGGUGAAGGAACUAGGCAAAAUGGUGCCGUAACUUCGGGAGAAGGCACGCUGGUGUGUAGGUGAAGUCCCUGCGGAUGGAGCUGAGACCAGUCGAAGAUACCAGCUGGCUGCAACUGUUUAUUAAAAACACAGCACUGUGCAAACACGAAAGUGGACGUAUACGGUGUGACGCCUGCCCGGUGCCGGAAGGUUAAUUGAUGGGGUUAUCCGUAAGGAGAAGCUCUUGAUCGAAGCCCCGGUAAACGGCGGCCGUAACUAUAACGGUCCUAAGGUAGCGAAAUUCCUUGUCGGGUAAGUUCCGACCUGCACGAAUGGCGUAAUGAUGGCCAGGCUGUCUCCACCCGAGACUCAGUGAAAUUGAACUCGCUGUGAAGAUGCAGUGUACCCGCGGCAAGACGGAAAGACCCCGUGAACCUUUACUAUAGCUUGACACUGAACAUUGAGCCUUGAUGUGUAGGAUAGGUGGGAGGCUUUGAAGCGUGGACGCCAGUCUGCGUGGAGCCAACCUUGAAAUACCACCCUUUAAUGUUUGAUGUUCUAACGUUGGCCCCUGACCGGGGUUGCGGACAGUGUCUGGUGGGUAGUUUGACUGGGGCGGUCUCCUCCCAAAGCGUAACGGAGGAGCACGAAGGUUAGCUAAUCCUGGUCGGACAUCAGGAGGUUAGUGCAAUGGCAUAAGCUAGCUUGACUGCGAGCGUGACGGCGCGAGCAGGUGCGAAAGCAGGUCAUAGUGAUCCGGUGGUUCUGAAUGGAAGGGCCAUCGCUCAACGGAUAAAAGGUACUCCGGGGAUAACAGGCUGAUACCGCCCAAGAGUUCAUAUCGACGGCGGUGUUUGGCACCUCGAUGUCGGCUCAUCACAUCCUGGGGCUGAAGUAGGUCCCAAGGGUAUGGCUGUUCGCCAUUUAAAGUGGUACGCGAGCUGGGUUUAGAACGUCGUGAGACAGUUCGGUCCCUAUCUGCCGUGGGCGCUGGAGAAUUGAGGGGGGCUGCUCCUAGUACGAGAGGACCGGAGUGGACGCAUCACUGGUGUUCGGGUUGUCAUGCCAAUGGCACUGCCCGGUAGCUAAAUGCGGAAGAGAUAAGUGCUGAAAGCAUCUAAGCACGAAACUUGCCCCGAGAUGAGUUCUCCCUGAGACUUUAAGUCUCCUGAAGGAACGUUAAAGACGAUGACGUUGAUAGGCCGGGUGUGUAAGCGCAGCGAUGCGUUGAGCUAACCGGUACUAAUGAACCGUGAGGCUUAACCU